rnacentral:rRNA from 1 species
AUGCCGGCUGAUCGUGCACCUCGGCCGGACGGUUUCUCUAGGCUAUUUUACAAGAGCUGCUGGGGUAUUAUUGCAAAGGACUUCAUGGCUGUGUUGCACGCACUUUCUGAGGAUCGUUUUUACUCCUUUCAAGCUCUGAACUCGUCCAUUAUUACCCUGCUGCCCAAGAAUGAGGAUCCGCUGCAGCUAGGGGACUUCAGACCAAUUAAUCUGAUCCACGGGGUUGCUAAUUUUUUGCCAAAGCCCUUACAACCCGGCUGGCACCUCUUCUGCCUUCAUUAA